rnacentral:rRNA from 1 species
UGAACGCUAGCUACAGGCUUAACACAUGCAAGUCGAGGGGCAGCAUGGUCUUAGCUUGCUAAGGCCGAUGGCGACCGGCGCACGGGUGAGUAACACGUAUCCAACCUGCCGUCUACUCUUGGACAGCCUUCUGAAAGGAAGAUUAAUACAAGAUGGCAUCAUGAGUCCGCAUGUUCACAUGAUUAAAGGUAUUCCGGUAGACGAUGGGGAUGCGUUCCAUUAGAUAGUAGGCGGGGUAACGGCCCACCUAGUCUUCGAUGGAUAGGGGUUCUGAGAGGAAGGUCCCCCACAUUGGAACUGAGACACGGUCCAAACUCCUACGGGAGGCAGCAGUGAGGAAUAUUGGUCAAUGGGCGAGAGCCUGAACCAGCCAAGUAGCGUGAAGGAUGACUGCCCUAUGGGUUGUAGACUUCUUUUAUAAAGGAAUAAAGUCGGGUAUGGAUACCCGUUUGCAUGUACUUUAUGAAUAAGGAUCGGCUAACUCCGUGCCAGCAGCCGCGGUAAUACGGAGGAUCCGAGCGCUAUCCGGAUUUAUUGGGUUUAAAGGGAGCGUAGAUGGAUGUUUAAGUCAGUUGUGAAAGUUUGCGGCUCAACCGUAAAAUUGCAGUUGAUACUGGAUAUCUUGAGUGCAGUUGAGGCAGGCGGAAUUCGUGGUGUAGCGGUGAAAUGCUUAGAUAUCACGAAGAACUCCGAUUGCGAAGGCAGCCUGCUAAGCUGCAACUGACAUUGAGGCUCGAAAGUGUGGGUAUCAAACAGGAUUAGAUACCCUGGUAGUCCACACGGUAAACGAUGAAUACUCGCUGUUUGCGAUAUACUGCAAGCGGCCAAGCGAAAGCGUUAAGUAUUCCACCUGGGGAGUACGCCGGCAACGGUGAAACUCAAAGGAAUUGACGGGGGCCCGCACAAGCGGAGGAACAUGUGGUUUAAUUCGAUGAUACGCGAGGAACCUUACCCGGGCUUAAAUUGCAGAUGAAUUACGGUGAAAGCCGUAAGCCGCAAGGCAUCUGUGAAGGUGCUGCAUGGUUGUCGUCAGCUCGUGCCGUGAGGUGUCGGCUUAAGUGCCAUAACGAGCGCAACCCUUGUUGUCAGUUACUAACAGGUUCCGCUGAGGACUCUGACAAGACUGCCAUCGUAAGAUGUGAGGAAGGUGGGGAUGACGUCAAAUCAGCACGGCCCUUACGUCCGGGGCUACACACGUGUUACAAUGGGGGGUACAGGGGGCCGCUACCACGCGAGUGGAUGCCAAUCCCCAAAACCUCUCUCAGUUCGGACUGGAGUCUGCAACCCGACUCCACGAAGCUGGAUUCGCUAGUAAUCGCGCAUCAGCCACGGCGCGGUGAAUACGUUCCCGGGCCUUGUACACACCGCCCGUCAAGCCAUGGGAGCCGGGGGUACCUGAAGUGCGUAACCGCGAGGAGCGCCCUAGGGUAAAACUGGUGACUGGGGC